GGCCCUAAAUCUCUCCCAUGGCUCGGUUCACUCCCUAAUCUUGGGGUUAAUGCCUAUCUACAACAACUCUAUCAACUGGUAACAAGAAAAUGAGAGUUCCAAAGAAGUGCACCAACCUUCGGAACUAGGAAUUGCUCACGCCAAGCUUGAGGAUGUCGAAGAUGAAGAUGGCACAAAUGCCCUAUGAUCAGUUGUAAUUAUUAGUCGUGAAAGAGUUUUGAUUGAAGCUGAAGAAUUUUACAGAUGCAAACUUCAAAUAGUUUCUAGUGGAGUCUACUUUUGUUUAAAAGAAGAAAAAAAAACAGGGCAUUGGCUUGUGAGCUCGUGGGACGAAACGAAUUGGGCUUGUAUGUUGAACUUGAAGAGUUGAAUCUUGCUUGCAUAUCAAAAUAUGUAGAAAUAGGAGUUGUAGAUGUUGUAUUUAUUUGUGAAGUGUUAAUUUGGAAAUGUCAUGAAUAUAAAUUGGAGAUUUGUAAAGCAUUGAAUGAAAGUUGAAUGAAUGAAUGUAAGUUUGGAAAUUUUGUAAA